AUUGAACGCUGGCGGCAGGCCUAACACAUGCAAGUCGGACGGUAGCACAGAGGAGCUUGCUCCUCGGGUGACGAGUGGCGGACGGGUGAGUAAUGUCUGGGGAUCUGCCCGAUAGAGGGGGAUAACCACUGGAAACGGUGGCUAAUACCGCAUAACGUCGCAAGACCAAAGAGGGGGACCUUCGGGCCUCUCACUAUCGGAUGAACCCAGAUGGGAUUAGCUAGUAGGCGGGGUAACGGCCCACCUAGGCGACGAUCCCUAGCUGGUCUGAGAGGAUGACCAGCCACACUGGAACUGAGACACGGUCCAGGCUCCUACGGGAGGCAGCAGUGGGGAAUAUUGCACAAUGGGCGCAAGCCUGAUGCAGCCAUGCCGCGUGUAUGAAGAAGGCCUUCGGGUUGUAAAGUACUUUCAGCGGGGAGGAAGGCGAUGUGGUUAAUAACCGCGUCGAUUGACGUUACCCGCAGAAGAAGCACCGGCUAACUCCGUGCCAGCAGCCGCGGUAA
rnacentral:rRNA from 1 species